AUUGUUGUUGGGUGAUUCCAUUAUAAGAGGUGUGGAGAUGGACAAUGGUGGUCUUGUGAGGUGUCUUCCCGGAGCUACUGCUCACAGAGACAGGAGACGUAUCUGUAAUAUUGUUAAGCAAGCAAAGCAGGAAGGGGAAUUGGAUGUACUUGUCCAUCUAGGGACAAAUGACUUGGCUUGCAAUGAGGUUUCAGAGAUUAAGGAAGUUUUUAGUGUUUUUGCC